rnacentral:rRNA from 1 species
AGAGUUUGUAUCCUGGCGUCAGGAGUGAACGACCUGGCGGCGUGCCGUAACACAAUGCAAGUCGAGCGAAGCACUUCAUUAGAACUCUUCGAGGGACGAGGAAGUGACUGAGCGGCGGACGGGUGAGUAACGCGUGGGCAACCUGCCUUACACAGGGGGAGUAACAGUUAGAAAUGACUGCUAAUACCGCAUAAGACCACAUUGCCGCAUGGCAGGGUGGUAAAAACUCCGGUGGUGUAAGAUGGGCCCGCGUCUGAUUAGGUAGUUGGGCAGGGUAGAGGCCUACCAAGCCUACGAUCAGUAGCCGGCCUGAGAGGGUGGACGGCCACAUUGGGACUGAGACACGGCCCAAACUCCUACGGGAGGCAGCAGUGGGGAAUAUUGCACAAUGGGGGAAACCCUGAUACAGCGACGCCGCGUGAGUGAGGAAGUAUUUCGGUAUGUAAAGCUCUAUCAGCAGGGAAGAAAAUGACGGUACCUGACUAAGAAGCCCCGGCUAACUACGUG